CAGCCGCCGCGGUAAUACGUAGGGUGCGAGCGUUAAUCGGAUUUACUGGGCGUAAAGCGUGCGCAGGCGGCCCGUUAAGACAGGUGUGAAAUCCCUGGGCUCAACCUAGGAAUUGCGCUUGUGACUGGCGGGCUCGAGUACGGUAGAGGGGGGUGGAAUUCCUGGUGUAGCAGUGAAAUGCGUAGAGAUCAGGAGGAACACCGAUGGCGAAGGCAGCCCCCUGGGCCUGUACUGACGCUCAUGCACGAAAGCGUGGGGAGCAAACAGGAUUAGAUACCCUGGUAGUCCACGCCCUAAACGAUGGGUACUAGCCGUUUGGUGCGCGAUAGCGCUGAGUGGCGAAGCUAACGCGUGAAGUACCCCGCCUGGGGAGUACGGCCGCAAGGUUGAAACUUAAAGGAAUUGCGGG
rnacentral:rRNA from 1 species